rnacentral:rRNA from 1 species
GACGAACCGUGCGAACGUUAUUCGGAAUCACUGGGCUUAAAGCGCGUGUAGGCGGGCGGGUACGUCGGCGACUGAAAGCCCCCGGCUCAACCGGGGAAGGGGUGCCGAAACGGCCGGCCUGGAGGGGCGUGAGGGGGACCUGGAACUUCCGGUGGAGCGGUGAAAUGCGUUGAGAUCGGAAGGAACGCCCGUGGCGAAAGCGAGGUCCUGGACGCCAUCUGACGCUGAGACGCGAAAGCGUGGGGAGCAAACAGG